rfam:Bacillus krulwichiae strain AM31D, complete genome.
UCUAGGGUGACCUAGAAUCUGAAGGAAGCCGGACGCAAAAUCUCGGGACAACGAACAGAAACUGGAUAUAAGGCUGGCUGGGGACGGACGAGUUUCCUAUACAAAACGAAGUCCAACACUGCCCGAAUCUCCUACAGUAAAUCCAGUGUCUACGAGAGGAAAGCGGUUAGA